GAGAAUGGUGUUACUAGAUAUAUCAGCUGCAAUCCUUGCCUGUUGAUAGUCAUGUAUACUUCGCUCGCUCUUUGAAUGAUUUCAUCUUCAAGUAAGUCUUUAUCUUCAUAAAUACUUAAGUUACGUGCAAACCAGAUGUAGUAAACGAGACCUGCUAUUUGAAUUAGAACAUCUUCACUGUUGUUUAGAAUAGCGUGUGUUAUCCAGUCUUGGAAAUUUGAAAUGGGUUGGUCCAUAAUCCUGAGAUUAAGUUGUGAGCCAAACCAAAUUCUAGUGAUUUUGGGACAUGUCAUGAAAACGUGCUCCAUAGACUCAAUUUUUGAGUUACAUCUUGAACAAAGAGGGUUGCAAAGGAUGCCCCUUUUCCCCAAUUCACUUCUCAAAGGUAGAGAGUUAUUUAAAACUCUCCACAAAAUCAUUUUGUGUAUGGGAAUAGUGUGUAUGGACCACAAUUUUUUCCAUAAAUUAGUCUCAAUGUUGCUAUUAGAAGGCUCGGUAAUAGUAGUAAUUUUUCAGUUCUGUAUAGCUUGAUAACCACUGUGCACCGUAUAUUUGCCAUCUUGAUUAAAAUGCCACAUAAUCUCAUCAUCAUUGGCCAGAUUAAUAAGAGGGAUACAUUCUAUUUGAUCUUUGUCAAUAGACAGGAAAUGUGUAUUGAGAAUACUGUUAUUCCAACUAGGCUCGUCCAUGUUAGUUAAAUCUUUAACCAAAACAACAUCUGGAUUCCCCAGAUUGGGAGUGAAAAUUCUGAAAUUAUGAUGAGUGGGUAUCCAGUUAUCCUCCCAUAUUCUCACUUUUUGCCCAUUUCCUAUUUUCCAGCAACUCCCUUUCUGAAUAACCCAAAUAGAAUGGAAUAUGCUCCUCCAAGCAUAACUUGGGCUAUAACCUAAAUUAGCCUGGAGAAUGUCUUGGUUAGGGAAAUAUUUAGCUUUGAAAACUCUGGAGAUAAGGGAUUUUUGAUUAGUCUGAAAUCUCUAGACUUGUUUGGCAAGCAUGGCCAUAUUAAAAUCUCUAAGAAUUUUGAAGCCCAUUCCACCCUUAUGUCUGGGUUUAAAAAGAUUUUCUCUUUUGGUCCAGUGAAUCUUCUUUUUACUAUCAGUGCCACCCCACCAAAAUGCACAAACAACUUUCUCAAUCUUCUCACACAAGCCUUUAGGAAGUAAGAAACAACUCAUAACAUAUGUGGGAAUUGCUUGGGCUACUGCUCUUAUGAGAGUACCCCUUCCUUCAAAAGAAAGACUCUUUUCUUUCCAACCCUUUAGUUUUUUCCAUAUUCUGUCCAUUAUGAAGUGGAAAUCAUGCUCUUUUGAUCUUCCAAAGUGAGUAGGCAUGCCCAAAUAUUUAUUGAUGGAAGUGCUGAUCUUAACAGGUAGAUUGUCUUGAAAUAUUUUCUGUAGAUCAUUAGAGAUGUUUGGGCUGAACGCCAUCUCUGAUUUAUCCAUAUUAACUUUCUGUCCAGAAGCCUCUUGAUAAAUCUGAAGAAUGUUCAUAAUAAUACUAGCCUCCUCGGGUUUGGCCCUACAAAAUAUGAUACUAUCAUCAACAUAAAAUAAAUGAGAUAUAGCUGGGGCAUUAGUGGCAAUGGAGACACCAUGAAUUAAACCUUCAUUUUGACAUUUUGAGAUUAAACCAGAAAGAACCUCAGCACAUAAUAUAAAAAUAUAAGGGGAAAGGGGUCCCCUUGCCUUAUCCCUCUUUGGGGGGAGAAAGGCUCAGUGGGUUGACCAUUAAUAAGAAUAGAGAAAGUAACACACCUAAUACAAAGCAUAAUAGUGUUAAUAAGAUUGAUAGGAAAGCCCAUGGCAGUCAAUGUAUCUUCAAUAAAAUUCCAUUUAAGACUAUCAUAGGCUUUUGCAAUAUCAAGCUUUAUACCAACAUAACCAUUAUUAUUAGUCCUGGUUUUUCUAAUGUAGUGAAAAGUUUCAAAAACUAUAAGGGAAUUAUCUGUAAUUAAUCUACCAGGAACAAAAGUGCUUUGAAAGUCAUUGGUUAUGUUGGGUAAAAUAUACUUAAUUCUAUUAGCUAUAGUUUUUGUAAUGAUUUUAAUAAUAACAUUACAUAAAGUUAUAAGUCUGAAAUCAGAGGGAGUAGAAGGGGAAUUGCUUUUAGGGAUCAGACUAAUAAAGGUGUGAUUUAUAGUUUUCAUGUUGCCCUUAUUAUUAAGGAUGUUUAGGAUAUAGUCCAUAAGGUCUUCCCCUAUGAUAUUCCAGUAUUUUUGAUAGAAUAGGGCAGUUAAGCCAUCAGGUCCUGGAGCAGAAUUUGCCUUAAGGUUUCUGAUGGCUUCUUGCACUUCUAUAGCAGUAAACUCAACAUUAAGGUGCUCAUAAUCAAUAGGGGAUACUCUAUUAUGGAUCACAUCGAAAAUAUCCUUAUUAUUAUUAGGAGAGGAGGAAGUAAAGAUAUUUUAAAAAAAUAGAAUGGAUAUUGUGACUGUCCUGCCAAAUGUUUCCAUCUGAAUCAGCAAUCUUGUAGAUGGAAUUUUUCCUCCUUCUCUGACUAGCUUUAUGAAUGAUAAAACCCUUAUGAAACGAUAACAUUUUUUUUUUUUGCAAAUUAUUUUGUAAUAUUUAAAUUAUUAAAAACUAAAUAAGUAAUUAAAAAAAUCUAUAAUUUAAAAAAAAAUUCAUUGACACUUCUAAAUAAAUAGUUUCAAUUUAAAAAAAAUAACAUUAUGAGUAACUAAAUAAUCUAUUGUAUAUGUUAGAUAAGCUAAAUGAAUGUAAAAUAUAUAUAUAUAUCCUAUGUAGAUGAAAAAACAAAAAUUGCAAGAAAAUUAUACUUAUUUGUUAAAACAUUCAAAUAUUUUAUUUAUGUUUGAUAUCUAUUUUGAAAGGAAAAAAACUAGAAUGAUUUAAGCCCUUCAAAAUAGUUUUUAUAUUUUUUUAUAUCAAAGUAAAAGGGGCGAGCUCCAAACAGGAAAAAAAAAAUUAACUACGACUAUGAGAGUCGAUCAACCUUUUAUCUACCAAUAAGGUAUAAAAGACAAAGAUGAGAACAAAAUAAAAAAUAUGACUAGUCAAAGGUGAACUAAGGCCAAACUUCACAAAUAUAAUCCUCUUUGACUCUCCGCUGGAAAUAUGUCGCACCUUACACCUUCACAAACGGUUAAGAAGACCUAGUGUUUAACUCGCCAAUUCAAAACAUGGACGGAUUCCAUUACUACCAACUUCUAGCAUCUACUAUUUUGGGGCUUAUAAAAAAUGGGUUCAUUCACUUCGAAUAUUUUAAGCCCCCAUGAUACUGGAGUUGGAGAUCAAAUUGUUAAGGUCACUUAAAUUGACAGCUCUAUCUACAUUGCUUCAAAUGUAUGUGAUUCAGUAGAACAUGAAGUAAGAAAAACCAAUGAAGAACAUGCCUUCGUGGUCAUGAACCACGCCACCACAAGCAACAUUGCCACCGCUAUCAAUAACUAAACCGUCACCAUCCUUCUGUCUUUGCGAUGAAACAAAACCACCAUGAAAGAAAAGCACCUUCACCAUUUUAAUACUAUCAACAAUACUACUGGUUGACAUUUAUCUUUAAUUAUAAGUAGGUUAAAAUAUGGUUUUAGUCCCUGCAAAUAUGCCUCGUUUUGGUUUUAGUCCCUGGUAAAAAAAAAUUUUGUUUUUGGUCCCUGCAAAAUUUUUUGUUUUUGAAAAUAGUCCCUCCAUUUUCAAAAACAAAAAAUUUUGCAGGGACCUUUUUUAAAAACAAAAUAUUUUGCAGGGAUCAAAAACUCCAAAAUUGGUUCAGUUAUAAUGUGCCACGUAUGCAAAUCAUCACAAAAGUGGAGUCAGGGACUAUUUUCAAAAACAAAAAAUUUUGCAGGGACCAAAAACAAUUUUUUUUUUUACCAGGGACUAAAACCAAAACGAUGCAUAUUUACAGGGACUAAAACCAUAUUUUAGCCUUAUAAGUACUAACUUUAUUUGAGAAACAAAUAGAAUAAUAUACUCUAGAUAUAUUAGUAUUAAGUGAUUAACUUUCUUCCCAUGAGCUCUACAAAAGAAAUUAAUAAACAAUAAUACUUGAUAUAACUUGCAUUUGCUCAACAUUAUCUUCAACAAAUAGAAUAAUAUCAUCAUCAAAGGCUAAGUGAGAUAUUUUACAAAGACAAAAUAUAUUUAAUAUUUUCUUUUUAUAAUUAAGAGCGAAAAUAAUAACAGAUAUUACCUCCGUCCCUAAUUAUAAGACCCUUUUGAGAAUUAUUUUUAUCUCUUUUUAUAAGACAUUUUUGCUAUUUCCAACUACAUUAAUUAUUUCUUUACAUACAUGUCUUCAUUUAUUAUACAUCUUUUUCUUCAAUCAGCAAUAAAUAACAUGUUGAAAACAUAAACCAACUAUCUCUUAAAGGAUAAAAUUGUAAAAGCAAUAGUAAUUACAAACAUAUUUAAUAUAAAUAUCCAUUAUCUUAAUUCCCGUUAUUUUUUCAAAAUGACUCUAUAAUUAGGGAUAGUAGUAGAAAACAUUUAAUAUGCGUAAUUUUUAGUAGUGGAGUGCUUAAUUUAGGACGGAGCUUCUUUUCUUUUAUUUCCAUUUGUAUCGUAGGGCUUCCUAUGUUACAUGACUAGUCACAAAAGUUAGGCUAAGUAUUGAAGACACAAUUUCCUUGAUCACUCUUGGAAUCGGACACUACAUGUGCUCUUCAUAAAGCUACAAACUCUAUCAAAUUCAGUGUAUGUUUUGGUUAACAAGGAGUUUGUUAGAAUGACAAAAUGCAUCACUUUAAUUUUGACAGAAACUACAUUUUUUAAUUGAGCUUUGCUAUUUAAAGCGAAUUCAAUUUCACGAAUUAUAGGUGAAUGAAUUAACACCCUUGGAUCUCUAUUUUCCUCAAUACAUGAAUGGUUGAAUUAUUUUAUUUUUUAUUUUUUUGUCUAAUAAUCUAGUGGGUAGAGCUCACACAUUUAAAUGUAGAGAUGUUCGGGGUUUGAACCCCGACCCCUGCAUAAAUUAUACAAUAUCUCUGUCAAUUGAGCUAAGCUCACGGGACAAAUGAUUGGAUUAUUACAUGGGUGUGUUAGUAAAAGUCAAACUUGCCACAAUGCAUGUCGUGAUGCCAUUGUGAGAUCAUUUUUUCGAUAUAAAUAACAUUUUCCUUUUGAAUUUCUAUAUAACCACAAUAUUAUUAUAAUUUUGUCAAACUUAAAGUAAUUGUAAAUAUUUAUUUAGUCUUGAAAGUAUUUAAAUAUAAUAACUCAAGAAUUUUACAAUGUAAUUUUUCUUUUUCUUUUUGAAACUCGUUAUCCGAUCCAAGGACCGACUAAUCUGAGGGGAUUAGUCCCACCACCCACUUGUAGGGACCCCAUUUAAAGUCAGAGCUAGCAAAGGCUAGCAAAGCUCUGUAUGGAUUUGCCCACCAAAAUUGGCACCAGAGGAAAUCAAACAUGAGACCUUGAGAGGAGCAAACUCCAAGAUCUCAAGCCAACCAUUAGGCCAACCCCAAAUGGGUUACAAUGUAAUUUUUCUAAUGACCAUGUGAGAAAUAAUCAGCUAAUUAGUAGCAAAAACUAAUUUCAAGUUAAUUAAUAU
rnacentral:lncRNA from 1 species